UGUAAACUGACAUUUCCUCUUCAUUUCCAGUUAUUACAUGUGGAUUCGUGCAGAGCAGGUGACAGUCGGAAAUCCAAACUUAGAUUGACUGGUAUUUAGAACCCGGAAAGGAAAGGAAAGGAAAGGUGAAUAUACUCCUACAGCAAACUUGAUUCAGUAUAUGUGAUGUUACCUAGGUGGUGUGGUUUUUAAAGAAUUUCUAACCGACGAUGGUGAUAAAAAGUAGAACACUUUCACGGAAGGGGGGCAACCUUAGUUCAGUCUGCGUCAGAUCAUUGUUGAGAUUACAUCCAAGGAGUGUGAACAGUGGAGCAGAGCUCUGUGCUCAGAACACAGGACACAUGCAGACAAGAAAACCGUGAGUUCAUUUUGUGGCCUCUGUGCGGGAGAGGAAGAAGCUUCUAGGUACAGUUGAACAGCAUCUUGAAAUUUUCUUCCUGUCAAGAGAUUUCUGUUAGCUAGGUGUACUCAUGUAUUGUACAAUACAAUGAAGAUCAUAAAAUAGAAGGAUUGCUUACUGAAAGGACCCGGAAUGAUUAGACUUUUUUCUAUCCUUCUUU
rnacentral:lncRNA from 1 species